rnacentral:rRNA from 1 species
GGGACCGCUCUGCUAAGAGGAGGAAGGAAUGGGGCAACGGUAGGUCAGCAUGCCCCGAAUUAUCUGGGCUACACGCGGGCUACAAUGGGUGGGACAAUGGGUAUCGACACCGAAAGGUGAAGGCAAUCUCCUAAACCCAUCCGUAGUUCGGAUUGUGGGCUGCAACUCGCCCACAUGAAGCUGGAAUCUGUAGUAAUCGUGUCUCAAAAUGGCACGGUGAAUAUGUCCCUGCUCCUU